rnacentral:lncRNA from 1 species
CAACUGUUCCUGAGUCUCCCUUUCUAUAUGCUUCCCGAUUGCCAUGAGGUGAGCAGCUUUCUUCCACCACAACUUUCUGCCAUGAUGUUUCUGCCUCCUCCCAGGCCUAAAACAAUGGUGCGAACAGACCAUAGACUGAUGUCUCUGAAAGCAUGAACCAAAAUCAAUCUUCCUUUAAUUUGUUAUUAUCAAGUGUUUUGUCACAAUGAAAAAAACCCGACUAACACAAUGCUCUUAUGAAAAAAAAAAAGGUCUGUGAGAUCUUGUUUGCCCUUUUUCCUUUGUGAGGACACAGCUAGAGGACAAAAUCUUUAAAACACAGAGCAAGUUCUCCCCAGAUACCAAAUCUACCAGCAACUUAACCUUGACUUCCAACCCUCCAGAACUAUGCCUCUGGCUGUUAACCAUGACAACAAAAGCAACAUGAAACAGUGUAUGGCCAAAUCCUAGAAAUAUCUCUUCCAGGACAUUGUACAGUAUAGCAUCAUGUUCCUACUGGAAGUGUGUCAGAGAAUGAAGUGAGACAAGACAGACUUCAGGAAUUGUGGAGCAAUCAAGAAAGUCAGGACUUCAUGACACAGUGUUCACAGCACUGGAGGGAAUUCAGACUCCAAGGCAAUAAAGACAAUACCACAGGGACCGUCAUCUGCCUCGCAAGCACAAAGGAAGCAACCCAGGCAUGAUGAAGAAAAGAAGAUAACCCCACUGUCAACUCACCAGCAAGGCCAGCAUUCAGCAGGAGUGGGAGAGGAAGGCAAAGGGGCACGCUAGGAAACAGUGAACUUUGGACCCAGAUAGACAAAAAUUUGAGCCAACUUCACCUCAUGCUUGAAGUGUCACUGGCCAUGUUGUGCAACACCCCCCUAGCUGCAUCCCUUCAGGGUAUAAGAAGAUAGCAGCUGUGCCUCCACUUACCUUAGAGGAAUAAAUGCCAAAUGACUGAAUCUGCAGCUGCUCCUGUCAGACGCUCAGCCCCGUGGACAAUAAACCUCUCCCAAGACCACCAGUCCUGUGCUCUCACGGUCACUUGCAAACUCAGCACGUUCUCCAC